GACGAACGCUGGCGGCGUGCUUAACACAUGCAAGUCGAACGGAAAGGCCCCUUUGGGGGUACUCGAGUGGCGAACGGGUGAGUAACACGUGAGUAACCUGCCCUUGACUUCGGGAUAACUUCAGGAAACUGGGGCUAAUACCGGAUAGGAAUCCUUGCUGCAUGGUGGGGGUUGGAAAGCUUCGGCGGUUUUGGAUGGACUCGCGGCUUAUCGGCUUGUUGGUGGGGUAGUGGCUUACCAAGGCUUUGACGGGUAGCCGGCCUGAGAGGGCGACCGGCCACAUUGGGACUGAGAUGCGGCCCAGACUCCUACGGGAGGCAGCAGUGGGGAAUAUUGCACAAUGGGCGGAAGCCUGAUGCAGCAACGCCGCGUGCGGGAUGACGGCCUUCGGGUUGUAAACCGCUUUCAGCAGGGGCGAAGCUUGUGGUGACGGUACCUGCAGAAGAAGCACCGGCUAACUACGUG
rnacentral:rRNA from 1 species